UACGAAGGGGGCUAGCGUUGUUCGGAAUUACUGGGCGUAAAGCGCAUGUAGGCUGCCAAGCAGGUCGGAUGUGAAAGCCCUCGGCUCAACCAAGGAAGUGCAUUCGAAACCGCAUGGCUCGAGUCCCGGAGAGGAUGGUGGAAUUCUCGGUGUAGAGGUGAAAUUCGUAGAUAUCGAGAGGAACACCGGCGGCGAAGGCGGCCAUCUGGACGAGGACUGACGCUGAGAUGCGAAAGCGUGGGGAGCAAACAGG
rnacentral:rRNA from 1 species